AUGGUUAAGGUUGACGUUCAGGCCCGCAUCAUCAAAAAUCUCUACGACAAUGGCGCGGCUCGGGUCGUGCUGAUCGGUCAGGAGAAAGCCGGUUUCACCUUGGGCUUCAGGGAGUACGGGUCCUCCGUCGUGCAGGAGCCCGCCGCCGUAGGCCACAAGCUCAAGGACUACAGCCAGUACCCGGAUUCCGCGGCGCAGGUGUUCUUCAAGGGCACGCAGCUCGGUGUCGGCCAGUCGCCCACGGUCGCCUACUUCUCCAGCCGAGGCCCGAGCCGCGGCAACCCACGCAUCCUGAAGCCCGAUAUCCUGGCGCCGGGGCUCAACAUCCUCGCCGCAGCCACGGAGAGUCCAGACCGGGGGCCUUUCAGAUUCAAGUCUGGGACGUCGAUGGCAGUGCCGCACAUCAGCGGCGUGGUCGCCCUUCUCAAGAGCGUGCACCCGGACUGGUCGCCGAUGGCCAUCAGGUCCGCCAUAAUGACCACGGCCGAUGAGCUGGACAACGACGGCAAUCCAAUCAUGAACGAGAAGCACGAGCCGGCGAGCGCAUUCGCUGUAGGCGCGGGGCACGUCAACCCCACGCGGGCCGUCUCACCCGGGGCUGGUCUAUGA
rnacentral:rRNA from 1 species